rnacentral:rRNA from 1 species
AGGACGAACGCUGGCGGCGUGCUUAACACAUGCAAGUCGAGCGAGGCUCCUCCUUCGGGAGGAUGCCCUAGCGGCGAACGGGUGAGUAACACGUGGGCAACCUGCCCCUAGCACUGGGAUAACCCCGGGAAACCGGGGCUAAUACCGGAUACGACUUCGGAAGGCAUCUUCUGAAGUGGAAAAAGGUUACUGGCUAGGGAUGGGCCCGCGGCCUAUCAGCUUGUUGGUGGGGUAAUGGCCCACCAAGGCGACGACGGGUAGCCGGCCUGAGAGGGCGACCGGCCACACUGGGACUGAGACACGGCCCAGACUCCUACGGGAGGCAGCAGUGGGAAUUUUGCGCAAUGGGGGAAACCCUGACGCAGCAACGCCGCGUGGAGGAUGAAGCCCCUUGGGGUGUAAACUCCUUUCGAUCGGGAAGAUAAUGACGGUACCGAUAUAAGAAGCCCCGGCUAACUUCGCGCCAGCAGCCGC